rnacentral:lncRNA from 1 species
CGCAGGGAACUUGACCUGGAACUCUGUGAAACAAAAGGAACUCUUCUGGUGUCUGGCAAAACCCCUGGAACCAGAUGUGACACAAACAGCUGCUGAAGCACUGAAAAAGGCAGAGGCUGUGUUUGGGAAAUCAGACUCCCUAUGCAGUGCUAAGGCACUGAUUGCAAUUUGUAUUUAUUCUUUUGUCUUUAUGUACUGGUAUUAACUUUUUUGAUCCAAGCAGAGAUGGGACGUAUGGAUUCCUAAGUCUGGCUCCCGGCAGUCUCAGGAACCAGCAUUCCAACUCUACACAUAGCUGAAAUUCACCUAAAACCUGUGAGUUAUACAAGGAAAGGCACACACUGACAACAUCAUUCUUCACAAACAGAAAGUGUCACUUUGAAUACAACAAAUUCAAUGAACUUUACGGUCAAUAGACACAACGCUUUUUGCUUCUCCAUUUCUGUUUUCAUCUCAGGAACAUGUGCACCGGCUGGAGACCCGACACAGGAGGCAACUGCUUGCCUUGCAGCAAGGAAAUCAAGGCAGGAACGAGCUCAGGUCCAUUCUGUCUGUAGCGUUAUGGACUGAAUCACAGACCCACCCUGACUCGCUGUGGUACAGACUUCCAACUCAUGUAACAGGCAAGCAGGGGAAAAUCCACAUAUUUAGGAAUAGUGUGAAGCUCAAGCAUUUCAGGGGAGUGCAAGUUCCUUCAUACAAUCACCAAAGCUUUUUCUUCUCCUCUCAGCUUCCCUCUAGACAGCCCAUGUUGUUCACUCUGUCCAUUACAGCAUCAGCUUUUUCCCCCACGGCUGCACUAGAGGCAAAAGCUCAAUUUACAGAAUUGCCAUAAGGAGAAAACAUUUU